UCCCUGGUGGUCCAGUGGUUAGGACUUGGCACUUUCGUUGCCUUAGGGCCCAGGUUCAAUCCCUGGUCGGGGAA